rnacentral:rRNA from 1 species
UACGGGGGGAGCAAGCGUUGUUCGGAAUUACUGGGCGUAAAGGGCUCGUAGGUGGCCAACUAAGUCAGACGUGAAAUCCCUCAGCUUAACUGGGGAACUGCGUCUGAUACUGGAUGGCUUGAGUUUGGGAGAGGGAUGCGGAAUUCCAGGUGUAGCGGUGAAAUGCGUAGAUAUCUGGAGGAACACCGGUGGCGAAGGCGGCAUCCUGGACCAACACUGACACUGAGGAGCGAAAGCCAGGGGAGCAAACGGG